GAUGACCUCGGAUCAGGUAGG
rnacentral:rRNA from 3 species